AGUUUCACACCCUCAGGGCACAGGGAGUGGAUGGAUCCAGAGACACAGCAGAGACACGCCGGAAAUACUGACGUGGACACAUGAGCCGAGAGGAGGAAGGGGGUUGCAAGGGAGAAGGAAAUGAGCGGCAACAUACCACCUUGAAGAUCCUCUGAAAGGAGCGUCCCACAUCAGACAUCACUGCUCUUCUGACGAUCACGUUUCCCAAGUACCUACAGUGCUUUUUCAGAAAAGGGCAUGAGAGUCAAAGGAGCCCGUCAGAACUUCUCAGCCUUGGGGCAUCCAGGUGGCUCAGUCGGUUGGGCGUCUGACUUCGGCUCAGGAUUCCUGGAAUCACAUGCUUCUUGUCUGUCCACUUUCUGAUGCAUUUCUUCAGUUUACCUCAUCCAUACCCUGCCAAACAAUUUGACUUUCUUGUGAGUCGCCAAGACCUGGUUUCUCUUGCUGACAACCACAGACUCUUCGAGAGGAUGGAAGGAACCAAGCCUCACAGUCCAGCCCGUGCCUGCUUCCACAGCCCUCCGUCUGGUCACAUCCUCACGUGCUCUGUUUUCAGCAGCGCCGACAAACACAAGACCCAAGGGAGCUUUCUCACCUGCUGAUGCUUUGCAAAGGCCCACUGCUUCCCUGGACACCUUCUAGGAGCCUCUAGCCCACCGAACUCCUACACAUUCUCAACACUCAGCCCAAAUAUCAUUACCUCCUGAGAAGAUUUACCCAUCUACACCAUCACACCAGGCUGAUUUUCAAUAACCCAGGGUGAUUUCAGUAAUUCUCAUACCACAUAUGAACUGGAUUUUUCGGUGGCCCACCCUUCGCUGGACAGUGGAUUUGUGGAGGAAGUGACCCCACGGGAGGCACACGUCUGGAAAGAAGAAAGGGACCUUAGCAGGUGGGAUAACAUGCUAAGAAGCCCUUCCCACAAAGUAUCCCUUUCUGUCCAGUUUUCAUGGUAAAAUGGCUGAUUCUGGUUAAAUUACUUUGGCUCCAAUCUCGCUUCAACAGUUGAGAUAUGAAGCCAGUUCCCUCCCUAAGGAGAAGACGCUUGUGGAUAUUAGCAAUAUCCAGACCUAGAUGCAGAACUUUCUGGAGGCCAUGCCUUUCCACUUCCUCCUUAUGAGCUCCCCUUGGCCACAGGUCAGGGUGGCUGUGUGGUGAUCUCUGCUUUUGUUUUUGAGGUCUGCUUUUGCAAGUUUAUAAAUUAAACACCGUAUGCAUUCCGUC